GGGGAUGUAGCUCAUCGGUAGAGCGCUCGCUUAGCAAGUAUUUGACCACCUGUUCUUCAAACCGGCGACUCACUACGUUGCGAGAGGUGGUUGGUUCGAUUCCUAUCAUCUCCA
rfam:Dacryopinax sp. DJM-731 SS1 chromosome Tnknown DACRYscaffold_15, whole genome shotgun sequence.